rnacentral:lncRNA from 1 species
UUAACUUGUAAUUUGCUUGAAUUUUUAAUAACAAAAUACUCUAAUGGAAACAAAAAAUUUAUGAUAUAAUAUCUUGUUUCCUUUUUUAUAGAACAUUUACUUCAAUUCUUUAAGAUUGUGGAGGAGAUUUAUCAUAAUGUUAGGUUAUCUAAUUCAAAUUAAUUGAGAGGGUUCACUGUAAUUUAUUGUUGAUGCAAGUUUAAAAAAUACUAGACUAUUUAUCU